rnacentral:rRNA from 1 species
GAUGAACGCUGGCGGCAUGCCUAACACAUGCCAGUCGAUCGGUAAGGCUCUUCGGAGUACACGAGAGGCGGACGGCUGAGUAACGCGUAGGAACACACCCUGCAGUGAGGGAUAAGACACCGAAAGGUGUUCUAAUACCGCAUACGGUCUUCGGAUUAAAGCAUUUAUGCGCUGAAGGAGUGGCCUGCGUCAUAUUAGAUAGUUGGUGGGGUAAUGGCUCACCAAGUCGAUGAUGUGUAGCUGGUCUGAGAGGAUGAUCAGCCAGACUGGAACUGAGACACAGUCCAGACUCCUACGGGAGGGAGCAGUGAGGAAUAUUACACAAGGAGCGAAAGCUUGAUGGAGCAAUGCCGGGUGCAGGAUGAAGGCCCUCGGGUUGUAAACUGCUUUUAUAAGAGAAGAUUAUGACGGUAACUUAUGAAUAAGGGACGGCUAACUACGUG